AUAAACAGGGCACUCACCGUCAGCCGGGCUGCCACCACAACACCCUCUUUAUUAAAACUUUCUUAAGACUGCACCAAAUCCGAGUAGGAGUAAAUGUUGUAAUGCAAUGUAAUUAAAUCUGGGAUAUUAACAAUUAAAUGUUAAGUUUGUAUCUUUACAUGAAUAUAUCUAGUUUUUAAUUAAUAUGCAUUUGUUCAAAACACAAGACAUUGUGCAUUUUCUUCUUUACAAAAUGGAUCGAAGGAAUCACAGCCAGUCUUCUUAGGUACUCACACACACAACAAACCUAUCUACUCAGUAUAAAAAAUUAUUCUGAAGUGGGAGGAGCCUGGAGGAGCUGCGUUGACUCCCUCCUGUUCUGUUGGUCUGGAAACCCCUUGCAUUUCAAAGGAGGAACAUUUGGAUCAAAUUUAAGGUAAGAAAACAGUUAGCAAAGUGGUUAGCUACCUUACUACAGUCUUUACAGUUUUCAGGUAAAAACGAGGCUUUACGUGUAAUUUGAAGAUCACGUUAUAGUGGAUUUAUACUGGAAGCCGGAGUAAUGUAACUAAUGUUACCAUGUGGCUAAAAGUUACUUCUAUGCCAUGCGAAGCUUAAGCUGAUCAAGGAAGAAUUCAGGAGGAUCAGACUGAAGCCACUAGAGUCCACAUUCCCAGGAAAGUUGGACAAACAUGUAGAUUGGAAGGGAGGAGGGUCCGUGUAUCUUUUGGUCAUUUGAUUUUCCUUUUAGAAACAGGUAACAAAAAAUAAAAUUACUUUAAAAGAGAAAACGAAAAAAGGCUCGUUUGUUCAUAUUCCGAGACCGGAUGUGGUCAUUUACGUGACAAGAGCGCCAAUGAGGACGGAGCUGUGUCGAAAAAAGUACGUGCUGCCUGUGUAAUUGAGCGUGAUCAGAGAGCGUGACGCAUGGACAUGGAACAAUACGUUGUUUUCCGAAACAAUAAAAAAGUCUGUCUCAGGGAAUAAGACAUGACUGCAGAAAAACUAAGUCGCAUUUUCCAGGUCUCAACUCAUAGUCUCUACAUGACUGACGACGCAAAUGUGGCAAUAUUUCCUGGAGCCUCUGGUGUUUUCAGCACAUUGGACCUUACUCCAAGAGCUCACUAUGAGGUUCACGGUGAGGAGGACGACACCUCAUCAGCUUCAAAUACCACAGCUCAACGUUUCACGUUCAUGCGAACACCUGCGACUACUUCUAGUCCAGCUGCGCAGCGGGCUGCCUCAGCCCCCUCCAGAGCCACUGUCUCUAAAACAUUUCAAAGGUAACUUCUUAAAU